GAGUUAGUAGUUAGUCAGUUAACAAGCCAGUAGCCAAGUUGUUAUACAGCUUGAAGUUUGUUGAAGAGCAGUUGAUAGUUAAGAGCUCUCUAUAAAUACAACUACUAAAUGUACAAAGAAAGGAAGUAAUCAAGAAUUAGAAAAGAAGUUAAUCAUUAUUAUUCCUUUAUUCUAUCAAAUACCAUUUGAACCUAGUCUUUAACAUGGUAUCAUUCGCUGGCUAAUCUUGGGAUCCAUGGCCACCACAAACUCCGCUGAUUCUGCGUCCCUUGAACCUGGCUCGGUUGCCU
rnacentral:lncRNA from 1 species